UGGGCAGACACCAGCCCGGCCACAGCCGUCCCGACGGCCGUCCUGGACAGGAUGGGGGCCCGGGGAGGGGCCUGCAGUCUGUGCCAGCCCCAUCUGAAGCUGGAGAACGGCUUAGAUCCAGGGGGCCUCAGAGGCAAGAUAGCAGUGCCCUGGUGUACAGUGGGGACUGUGGGGGUCCCCGUGCCCCUGCUGGAGACCAUCCCCCUUUGAACCACAUUCAGAUGCCAAGCCCAGCUCUGGAAAUCAAGUGUAGGCAAGAACAGGCAGCUGGAGGGGUGCUGAUUUGCCAAGAGCCACUCAUAUCACCCCAGCACAAGUGUCACACAGCCGUGACCUUGACAAGGACCCAGAGAUAAAGAUCCUUCCCACAUGGCUCCGAAGCCCCUCCCUUCCUGCUCACACCGCAUGCCUCUCCCGGAGAACUAGAGGCUGCAGCGGCAGCAGUUGGAGCAUCUCACUGCGGGGCUCGGGAAGGAGGAAAGGAGUGAGCAUGUCCUGCUCCUGCACGUCCCUGCUUAAGCUCAGGACUGGCCCUUCCAGGCCAAGGACCCCAGCAUAGACCCCAGGACAGGGCCCCAAGGAUCCCUGGCUCAUGAGAGCGGUUUGCUGGGCUGCCCCAAGAGAGCCUGAAGGAAACACAUUGUUGAGCUGAGCUGACGUCGCUGUUUCUUCCAGACUGCUCUCUAAAGUGGGCAGGGUAGCGACCGGCCGGCUCCGAUGGUGACGUCCCACUGCCAAGGGGUGGGAGUGGGGAGAGUCUCCACAGAGCUUCGGAGAAGCUGCUAAGAUGGAAAAGUGGAAACUUGGCAGACAGAUCCAGCCUCCCUGGCCACUGGCCCAUGCUCGUGGCUCCUGGAUGGCGCUGCCACGUUCUGAGCAGCUUGGGACAGGUGGAGAUCAGGACUGGCAGCUGCAAGGACACACCAGAGCCACAGAAACUAAAGAGAAUUUCCAAAAGGAGUCUAUGGUGAAGUCUCUGAGGAUGCAAAGAAGACAAGGAGAAUGAAAAUCCAAUGAAAGCCUGAUUGUAUUUGUUGACCUUAAGGAAAGUGAUUUUAUAGUACAGCCUCUCUGGAAGGGAGGGUGUGUUCGCUCACAGAAUGCAAAUACCCUUUGACCCCGUAAUCUUUCUUCUAGGAGUUUCUCCUACAGAUAAACUUAGAAGGGUGCUCAAAUAAGUAAGUUCAAGGAUAUCCUCUGAAGCAUUGCUGUAGUAUAAAAAAAGCACAGAUAUCCUCAAAGGACAUCAUUAGGGGCCUGGUAAAAUAAAUUCCACACAGUGGAACACCGUGUAGCUCUUUAGAGAAUAAACAGCUCUCUAUAUGUGAUCUGGAACAAUCUCCAAGCUAUAUUGUGAAGUGAAAAUUACAAACCCUUACUGAAAAGCAUUAAAGAAAAUCCAAAGAAAUGGAAAAGCAAAGCGUGGUCUUAGAUAGAAGACUCAAUAUCAUUAAAAAAAAAAAAAAACUCAGUUCUCGCUCAAUUAAGCUAUAGAUUCCAAGCAAUUCCAUUCAAAAUCCCAGAAGGUUGAAGGUGGGUGAGGUAGGAGGGGACUUGUCCUACAUCAUAGGAAGGCUUAUUAUAAAGACAUAAUAAUGAAGAUACUGGUAUUGGAACAGAUGUGAUCAAGUAUAUUAGUUCAACAUGAUAGAAGGCCCACCCAACAAAGACCCAUGUGUGUAUGAAAACUUGAUCUAUGACAAAAUUGGCAUUGCACGUGUAUCAAUGGGGAUGGGAUGGAUCAAUUCCUAAAAACACACAAAGAUGAUGGGGAAUCCACAGAAAAAGAAACGUAAAUGGCCAAAAAGUGUUAAGAAAAGAUAUACAACCUCACAGUAAUCAGGCAAGGAGAAGACACUGAUUACCAUCAGAUUGGCAAAAUUAAGCCAUCUGAUGAUGUCUGUGGAGCUGUUACUGGAAAGGGUCCCGAACCAGACCCCAAGAGAGGGUUCUUAGAUCUUGAGCAAGAAAGAAUUUGGGAUAAGUCCACAGAGUAAAAUACAAGCAAGUUUAUCAAGAGAGUAAAGGAGGCCGGACUCAGUGGCUCACGCCUGUAAUGCCAACACUUCGGGAGGCUGAGACAGGCGGACCACCUGAGAUCAGUUCAAGACCACCCUGGCCAACAUGGUGAACCCCCAUCUCUACUAAAAAUAUAAUUACCCCUAUUUACCCCUAUUCCUGCCUAACCUCCCAGGAAUACAGCCCAGCAGGUCUCAGCCUUAUUUUACCCAGCCCCUAUUCAAGUAGCAUGCCUGUAAUCCCAGCUACUCAGAAGGCUGUGGCAUGAGAAUCACUUGAACGUGGGAGAUGGAGGUUGCAGAGAGCCAAGAUUGCGCCAUUGCACUCCAACCUGGGCAAUAGAACAACACUGUGCCAAAAAAAAAAGAAAGAAAGAAAAGAAAAGAAAAAUGGCUAUUCCAUAGGCAGAGCACCCCCAAAGGCUGCUGGUUGGCUAUUUUUAUGGUUAUGUCUUGAUCAUAUGCUAAACAAGGGGUGGAUUAUUCAUGAGCUUUCUGGGAAAGGGGCAAGAAUUUCUUGUAAUUGAGGGUUUCUCCCCGUCAUAGGCCAUACAGGGUAACUUCCAGACGUUCCCAUGGCCUUUGUAAACUGCCACGGUGCUGGUGGGAGAUUUUUUUUUAGCAUGCUAAUGUAUUAUAAUUAGCAUAUAAUGAGCAGUUGGGACAACUAGAGGUCACUUUUGUCGCCAUCUUGGUUUUGGCAGGUUUUGGUCAGCCUUUAUACUGCAUCCCGUUAUAUGAGCAGGGUCAUUGUGGCCUGUAUCUUGUGACCUCCUAUCUCAUCUCAGAUCCCAGGAGGUUAAAAUGCCUUAACCUCCCAGGAAUGUGGCCCAGCAGGUCUCAGCAUCAUUUUACCCAGCCCCUAUUAAAGUUAAAGUUGCUCUGCUUCCAAUGCCUCUGACGUAUUUCCCCCCUCCUUUUUACAAGAGGACUAUUAAUCCUAACGGUUGUAGAGGUAGGAAGAUUCCCCUUCUGCAGCUUCUUCAGGCUAAAUAGGGGUAAUGAUAUUCUCAUCUAACUAUUAAGGUCUUUUGUAUUCAGGGUAGAGAGGAACUCAGUCAGAAAGCAUCAGCAUAGUGACGGCCAUUCAUAACUCUGAGUUCCAACAAAAGGUGAUAUCUGGAAGACUGGCAAAUGUUCAAUUUAAGAAAACGGUGAGUAAGCUUAUUCUGCAUUCCUACACAACGAGUACAACAGGAAUAUAUUCCACAAUAGUAAAGCAAAAUAAGUAAAAUUAUCUGAUAUGGUUUGCAUCUAUGUCCCCACCAAAUCUCAUGUCCGAUUAUAGUCCCCAAAGUUGGAGGUACCGCCUGAUGGGAGGUGACUGGAUCACGGGGGCAGUUUCUCAUGAAUGGUUUGGCCCCAUCACCCUCGGUCAUGAUAGUGGGUGAGUUCUCGUGAGAUCUGGUUGUUUAAAAGUGUAUGGUACCUCCUCGCUCUCUCUCCUUCUCCUGCUCCUGUCAUGUAAGAGGCCUCUCCCCCUUUGCCUUAGGCCAUGACUAAAAGCUCCCUGAGGCCUCCCCAGAAGCAGAUGCUGCCAUGCUUCCUGUACAGCCUGCAGAACCGUGAGCCAUUAAAUCUUGUUGCUUUAUAAAUUACCCAGUCUUGGGUAUUUCUCUAUAGCAGUGUGAGAAUGGAUUAAUACUUUAUCCCAAAUAAAUUAAAUAAGGCAUUCCAUCAACUGGGCAACUGUCGGAACUAAGCUGAUAUGGGGUUGCUAACAGAUUCCAAUAUGUGCCCUGAAUUAGAAUACUGAUCCAGAUAUUUCUUAUGUUACCCAUCCCUA